rnacentral:rRNA from 1 species
GAUGAACGCUAGCGGCAGGCCUAAUACAUGCAAGUCGAACGGUGUCUUCGGACAUAGUGGCGCACGGGUGCGUAACACGUAUGCAACCUACCUUACAUUGGGGGAUAGCCUUUCGAAAGGGAGAUUAAUACCGCAUAAGACAGUAGCUGGGCAUCCAGCAGCUGUUAAAGAUUUAUCGAUGUAAGCUGGGCAUGCGUCCAAUUAGCUAGUUGGUGAGGUAACGGCUCACCAAGGCAAUGAUUGGUAGGGGAACUGAGAGGUCAAUCCCCCACCCUGGAACUGAGAUACGGGCCAGACUCCUACGGGAGGCAGCAGUAGGGAAUAUUGGGCAAUGGACGCAAGUCUGACCCAGCCAUGCCGCGUGCAGGAUGAAGGCGUUAUGCGUUGUAAACUGCUUUUAUACAGGAAGAAACGACUCUUGCGAGAGGCAUUGACGGUACUAUAUGAAUAAGCACCGGCUAACUCCGUGCCAGCCGCCGCCGUAAUAC